rnacentral:rRNA from 1 species
AUUGAACGCUGGCGGCAGGCCUAACACAUGCAAGUCGAGCGGAGCGGCGGACGGGUGCGUAAUGCCUAGGAAUCUGCCUGGUAGUGGGGGAUAACGUCCGGAAACGGGCGCUAAUACCGCAUACUAUCAGAUGAGCCUAGGUCGGAUUAGCUAGUUGGUGGGGUAAAGGCCUACCAAGGCUACGAGCCGUAACUGGUCUGAGAGGAUGAGCAGUCAAACCGGAAAGUGGACACGGGCCAGACUCCUACGGGAGGCAGCAGUGGGGAAAAUUUGAACAUGGGCGAAAGCCUGGUCCAGCCCUGCCGCGUGUGUGAAGAAGGUCUUCGGAUUGUAAAGCACUUUAAGUUUGGAGGCGUUACCAACAGAAUAAGCACCGGCUAACUUCGUGCCAGCAGCCGCGGUAAUUC